rnacentral:rRNA from 1 species
GGGUGAGUAACGCGUAAGUAAUCUACCCUGAUAUCCGGGAUAACCCACCGAAAGGUGUGCUAAUACGGGAUACGCUGAUUUAUCAGGAAAGGUGGCCUCUUCAUGAAAGCUACUGUAUCGGGAGGAGCUUGCGUACCAUUAGCUAGUUGGUGGGGUAAUGGCCUACCAAGGCGACGAUGGUUAGCGGGUCUGAGAGGAUGAUCCGCCACACUGGAACUGAAACACGGACCAGACUCCUACGGGAGGCAGCAGUGAGGAAUAUUGCGCAAUGGGGGAAACCCUGACGCAGCGACGCCGCGUGGAUGAUGAAGGCUUUCGGGUCGUAAAAUCCUGUCAGAUGGGAAGAAAUGUCAUAUGUCUAAUAUAUGUAUGAUUUGACGGUACCAUCAAAGGAAGCACCGGCUAACUCCGUGCCAGCAGCCGCGGUAAUACGGAGGGUGCAAGCGUUGUUCGGAAUUACUGGGCGUAAAGCGCGCGUAGGCGGCUUUUUAAGUCAGAUGUGAAAGUCCACGGCUCAACCGUGGAAGUGCAUUUGAUACUGGAAGGCUUGAGUACUGGAGGGGAUGGUGGAAUUCCCGGUGUAGAGGUGAAAUUCGUAGAUAUCGGGAGGAAUACCGGUGGCGAAGGCGACCAUCUGGCCAGAUACUGACGCUGAGGUGCGAAAGCGUGG